UUUUCGAAGUUUGUGACAUUGAAUAACACACGAAAGGUCAAUGAAAUAAACUCCGAGUUUUAGUAGAAAUCAUUAACAUUUUACAGCGAAAUUAACAUAACUGAUUGCAUUUCGCAGUCGCGCUUUGUUCAGGGUAGUCGUGUGUUCAGUAAAUUAUAAAGAUGGGUUCCCGUUUUCAAGUGGUUGAACAAGGCCCGCCGAUUGAAGUUUUUCAGCUAAAUAAACUUUUUGUAGAGGAUACAUACCAGAAUAAAGUUAAUCUAGGUGUUGGGGCAUACAGAGAUGAAAAUGGCAAGCCCUGGGUGCUUCCCGUUGUCCGGAAGAUGGAGAAACAAAUGGCUGCUGACGACACCCUCCUCCACGAGUACUUGCCAGUACUUGGAUUGGAACAGUUCUCAGCGUCAUCAGUGUCCAUGCUGCUAGGAGAAGACAGCCCGGCCAUCGCCGCCGGUCGCGCGUUUGGCGUUCAAACACUAUCCGGCACGGGCAGUUUGCGCGUCGGCGCCGAACUGUUGAACAAGCACCUCAAGUAUACCACCUUCUACUACUCAAGUCCUACGUGGGAGAACCACCACCUCGUAUUCAUCAACUCCGGCUUCACGCAGCCUCGUACCUACCGUUACUGGGACGACAAGACCCGCUCGUUGGACUUUGACGGUCUGAUUGAGGACCUGAAGAAUGCGCCAGAGAACAGCGUCAUUAUACUACACGCGUGCGCACACAAUCCCACUGGCAUGGACCCCACGCAGGAGCAGUGGGAGAAGAUCGCUGACGUCAUGGAGGAGCGCAAGUUGUUUCCGUUCUUCGACAGCGCGUACCAGGGCUUCGCAUCAGGCGACCUCGACAAGGACGCCUGGGCAGUACGUUACUUCGUCAAGCGAGGCUUCGAGCUCAUCUGCGCGCAGUCUUACGCGAAGAACUUCGGGCUCUACAACGAGCGAGUGGGCAACCUGACGCUGGUGGUGUCGGACGCGUCGCUGGUUCCCGCCAUCAAGUCGCAGCUGACGUGGGUGGUGCGCGGCAUGUACUCCAACCCGCCGGCGCACGGCGCGCGCGUCGUCGCCAACGUGCUGGCCAACAAGCAGCUGUUCGAUGAAUGGAGGGACCACAUUAAGGUGAUGUCUUCAAGAGUCAUCCAGAUGAGAGAAGCUUUGAGAGCGGAGCUUAUCAAACUAGGCACGCCCGGCAACUGGGACCACAUAGUAAAGCAGAUCGGCCUAUUCUCCUACACCGGCCUGACCCCUCGUCAAGUCGAGCACCUAAUCCAGGAGUACCACAUCUACCUGCUCCGCUCAGGCCGCAUCAACAUCUGUGGCCUGAAUCCGGGCAACGUGGUCUAUAUGGCCAAGGCGAUCCACGACGCCGUCACCAAGUUCCCGGCUGAACAGUAAAGUUAUUUUUGGUUAUGAACUCUGCCAGCAGAGUUGGUGGUGUGGCUUAUCUGGCUCGGGCGAUGGAAUGAUGGACCAAUGAUUUAAUAUUUAUUGUAUUUACAAUUAUAGGGUGCGCAGCAAGAGUUGAGACGAUCAAUUAUCAACACAAGCAAAGAUUAGUAUCUGUAUACGCUUGUCGCGGUGACGUCUUGUGUACUGUUCUGAAUCCAAAUAGAUAUUACAUCAGUGUAUUCACUGUGAGUACGUGUUCGCCUCAACUUUCGUUACGCAACCUAUAAAAUUUACGGUCAUUUUACAUUUUACACCUUGUUAUAACUGGCAUGACAUUGUUCAAAUUCCGUACAGUUAAGACAACGUAAAUCUCUUGAGAUUUUGUAACAUCAUGCUCGUGAGAGUAAUGAUUUAUGCCCGUAUGAAAAUAGAUUUUAACUCGUUGAUCAGAGAAUUGACUAUCUCUGUAGCAUUUACAUUUGCUUAUAAGUUUAGCUGUCACCCGGACCAGAUAAGUGUGUUUCGUUACCAGAUGAUGACAUGGUGUGGAAUGCGGGUUUGUCUGUAUUGAUUUGCAGACUUCGUACACAUUUCGCCGCGUACCAUUAUUAAUAUCGUUUUAAUUUUCUUAUAUACGUUCAACGCUUUUCAAUAUCUAUGUAUUCCGCGCUAUGAUUUAUACAUUAAUUUGUGAUUAUUUUAUGAACAACUUCUUGAAAUUAGUCUUCUAUAGAAGCUUGCUCGAUACGUUUUUUAUUGUAGCAGACAAUACUUUAAUGGCAAAGAAAAACCCAUGGAAUAGAACACCAGCUUGCAAAGAGCUUAAAUUUGUAUAGUACGUAAAUUAUUGCGAGGUUAUACAAUAAUAUAGCUCAAUUUACUCGUAUGUAUAAUAAAAAUCCAUUGUUUUACGUAAAUUACAUUACGUAAGCACUCGGUUAAUUAUUAGCUGGUAGGCCCCAUGCACACGUGGAAAAUAUAUGUCAUUUUGAAUAGCUAUAAAGUAAAAUUUAAGAAUCUUUACUAAUAUGUUGAAGUAUUGAAUCAAAAUUGAGAUUAUCAUCAUGUAUUAUUUUAAAAAUAUACUAAUAAUUACGUCAAAAAUAUACUCAAAAUCGUACUAAAAUUCAUUAAUCAAAAUUAUAUUGUUAUUGCUCAUUAAUGAUAAUAAAAUCAUGGUCUAGAGUUUUAAAUGUUUUAUAGCACAGUAAUGAGAAUCAGGUUAUGUAAAUAGAAUUAUAUUUUAUACUUUAUUUGAAUUAGGCUGUGAAGUUUGUUUUGAAUAUCACAAAUAUUUUGCAAUAUACUUUGUUUUAAAUUGUUAUCCGAUCAUAUAGUUUAUUUAUUUUAUAAUACGCUCGUUUAACGUGUCUAGCAUUUGAUAAGGGCUUACACUGGGUACCCACUUCCGUGUGGGAAUUUAUUCCAUUUUAACCGCACACUUUCCAAAGAAUGUGGGUAAAUAAUCUUAACCCAUUUAUCAUUGGUGGGUUCACUUUUAACCAGUGUUGCCCUGAUAAUUUUAAUGUUUAUAGCUACGUAGCAGUUUGCUUUUACUUCUCACAUAGCCAGAACAAAACAGUAUUAAACGCUUUUAGUGUCACUGCUCGUUGUCGGUUAAUGUUAACUACAGCUUUGUUCAUUUUGUUACAUGUAGACAUGUAAGUUAUGUUUCAAAUACAUACAAUCUCACUGUUA